GGCAGUCCACGGAAAAUGUAUCCGUUCAGUGAAAAAACUUCGAGCACUGCACUCGACUGCGAGUGUCACGCGGGACGACAUUUUCACAUAUCACAUAGUCCGCAGCGGUUUUCCCGGCAAUGUGUGUGUACCUGCCCGGGCAGAGCGCGACGACCGCACAUAAUGUUCACCCAUCAGUCGGUUUUCGAUGAGCAGGUCGUGGCAUCGCCGCCGGUAUAUGCGUAUAUUUUGGCAACCUUUGAACGGUUUAAACCACGCGGUGUGCAACGCGUUUAAAGGUCAGACUGUAGACAGUGUAGACUGUAUAGACUGUAGACUGAAGACAUUAAUUUACUAGACACCAAGACACCCUAUACAAACUACGGGUAGAACAAACAUAAAGAUAACUAACUAAAAUAAAUCUAAAAAAACUGAAAGUAUAUCAUUAAGAUUGUUAUUAAAUAAAUAUAGGAAACUCCAAAACGUUUUAUUCG